GGAUUUCCUAAAUGCUGCCCAGCAAUGAGUUGAAGCAAUGCUUCUCCUAUAAUUCAGAGAUAAUACGUGGCUGGAUUCCAGUGACAUGGCUGGUGUUCUUUCUUGGCUUGGCACUCAGCUUCCUCUGAUGAAACUGCUCCAACAUCCAGUAGAGACUUAAUGGCAGCAAUGUGCAGGGUGUGCAUAGAACCGCACAGUGCUUUCAGGUGUCUGCUCAGCCCCCUGCCUGCCUUGUGUAUCUGGACCAAUACAUGUAUUAAAGCAUGAUAGCCUACCAAAUCUGAAUCCAUGGUUUCUAUCAGGGAUCAGGUAUCAUCUAUUAUCAGCAGCUGAUGUCAGUAUCAGAAAGCUCCUGUUGGAAGGUUGCCUCUGCAUGUGGUUUGAGGUCCGUAUCCCAUGGUGCUGGGGUAGAACCAUAACAGCUCCCCGCAGAACCUGUGCAGUCUGCAGUGAAUUGAUUGAUCUGUGCUCACCUUUUCCCAGCUGGUUGAAGAGGUCAUUCAGCUUUAAGAGUCCACAGAAUCUGCAUGGAUAUGACUUUGUUGCUCUUAAGUAA
rnacentral:lncRNA from 1 species